AGUCAGUGAUGAAGAAAGUGGUGUUUAUUUUUGUCUGAAAUUAAAUGAUUAUUGCCAUACUACUGCCUUCCUUCUGAGGCU